rnacentral:lncRNA from 1 species
GUCCUUCUUCAACCUCUGGAACGAUUUCAGAGAUUUGAAGAAAGGAUCUAGAUUGGCUAAGAAGAAGGUCUUCGCGCGAGCUAGCGCUUUCGAGAAGACCGAUCAGAUCGGGGCUUCAAGUGGAUUUUCCGUAGAGGCCGGACGUGUGUGCGGCUGCGAGCAACCAGCAAAGAUCCUCUUCACCAUGUCUCUCAGCGGCAG